GACGAACCGUGCGAACGUUGUUCGGAAUCACUGGGCUUAAAGGGCGCGUAGGCGGGUGCUCAAGUCCGGGGUGAAAUCCCACAGCUCAACUGUGGAACUGCCUCGGAUACUGGGUGUCUCGAGGGUGGCAGGGGUAUGCGGAACUAUCGGUGGAGCGGUGAAAUGCGUUGAUAUCGAUAGGAACUCCGGUGGCGAAGGCGGCAUACUGGUCCACUUCUGACGCUGAGGCGCGAAAGCCAGGGGAGCAAACGGG
rnacentral:rRNA from 1 species